GGUGGUUCUUGGGUGACACCCCCCGAAAUCAGGCUUCCUUCUCUCUGGUUCCAGGGUACAUCACCAGAGAACUGCA
rfam:Myotis davidii contig157480, whole genome shotgun sequence.